GGGUACCUACGGGGGGCAGCAGUGGGGGAUAUUGCACAAUGGGGGGAACCCUGAUGCAGCGACGCCGCGUGGGUGAAGGAGCGUUUCGGCGCGUAAAGCCCUAUCGGCAGGGAAGAAGAUGACGGUACCUGACCAAGAAGCCCCGGCUAACUACGUGCCAGCAGCCGCGGUAAUACGUAGGGGGCAAGCGUUAUCCGGAUUUACUGGGGGUAAAGGGGGCGCAGACGGCGAUGCAAGCCAGGAGUGAAAGCCCGGGGCCCAACCCCGGGACUGCCCUUGGAACUGCGUGGCUGGCGUGCAGGGGG
rnacentral:rRNA from 1 species